rnacentral:lncRNA from 1 species
AGAACCUAGGAAAACCUACCAGUCCCUUGUCCUGGGUACACAAAGCCAGAUGCUGAGGAUAGGAUCCAGAAGUACGUAGGUAGAGAGCAGAAAGUGCUGGCAGAGCGAUGGGUAGAAAGAGCACUGCCUAACAAGAUGUGGGGUCAGAUUCUCAGAGUCAGUUUGCCAGUGGAGCUGUCACUGGGGGAAUCUCUGCUCCACUGUUUCCACUGCACCUGCUUUCUUCCCUAUGAUUAGAAAGUGCCAUUCCUGUGUACUCCGUACCUCAUGCAAGAUGGUACCCACGAUAGCAAAUCCAUGAGUAUUUACUUUCCUAAGAAGAAAAUAUUUUCUUCUUUUGCUGUCUCCUCAUUCAGUAGCAUUUAUCCUGGUUUGAACCCCAAUAGUAAUACAUAUGAUAAGCAUGAGAGACAUAAUAAGGUAUUUUUGUCUCCCGAUUUGAGAAAGGAGUUCUUCAUCCUACCCAGCUCAGCCUUGGUGUAUCCUGUAUCCACCCCACAUAUACACUAAUUGCAGUGUAGAUCUCUGGUAAGGCCUGAGCGGGUCCCCAUAGCCACAAAUCUUUGGUAAGCUCCACCUGCAAACACUAGACAGUCUUCUGUCUUGCCCUUUGUCCCUCUCCUCCCAUCCCCUUGUCUCACCACCUAGGAGGCAACAAGGUCACAGCGGUAUUGAACUGCUGUCACGGUUUGGUGAGUCAACAAUGCAGAGACUUUUGCUGGAGCAGCUCCCUGUUCAAAACUGUAAGCAGUUUUCACAUCUCUACAAUGGCAUGGCCGGGGUCAUCUCUCUGAGUGCUAACUGGAAGAAAGGAAUAAACGGAGAAGCGAGAAAUAGCCAGAUGGUUUCAGAGCUUCAUCAGCUGUGUAGUCCUUGGCACCGGAGACUAAACCAAAUCCAGGAGGUUUAUAUUGGCCGGCUCAGUACUGUUAGCCUAGAGAAGUCGGUGAUUACAUGUGGCAGGGUUGUGAUUUGCUGGGGAGCCAUGAGUAAUCACCUUGCCCGAGCCAUGCUGCUGUGAUGUUAGGUGCAGGAUCUAAGGCAGCUAUUAAUAAUUGGAAAGGCAAAAGAGUGGCCAGUGGUCUGGUAGGAUGUCUGACAGCGAGGGGCGUUAUUGUAUUUAGAGAAAGUGCUGAUCCUCCUCAGUGGAGCUUGGUCACCACGAAAGCCACUGGCAGUCUGCACAUAUAAGUGAUGAGGGAAAGCAUAGUCUUAGAGGAUUAUGGGAGUGGGUUGGGAGUGGGGAAGUGAGCAGUCCCUUACAAGACACGGGGAAAGUACAGGCUGUAUCAAACCUGCAUCUGGUUCCCGGGCUUCUUGGUUCAUGCAGGUACCUAGAUUAGAAAAAGAACCCAGGCUGUUGGGCUGGAAACAGAAAUACAAGUCCAGACCUAGGGCCUCUGAGGCUGGGCCUGGACCUUCUUCUGUCUGGCACCAUUAACCAGUCAGUCAUGCAUACUAAUCUCAGUGGGCCUCACAGAGCUAGCACUGGGUGUCUUAUCAGUCUUUCAAGGAAGCUACAGAAGGUUCUGUUCUCUUCAAUCCUGACCGCUCCGGCCCUCAGCCACUUCCAGGGAAUAAUCGGGAAUAGGUACGACCUGUGCCAUUUUGCUCCACAACCCGUGAAAGAUAGCCUAGCUAUAUAUAUAUGCUUAGAGGAAUACUAGCUUUUAAAAUCCACACUGGGAGAAUUAUAUAUUGCUCCACCCCCUUGUGCCUGUCUGCUGGCUGCCUCCCCCUCUCCUCCUGCCCCUCACUUCCUGGGGCAAUGUUUUCAUCCAGAUUCUGCCUUCUUAUUUGUGGGCAUCCCUGGUCAGCUGAGCCAUACCCUGGCCUCUUCAUAUAGCAUUGCCUGGCCCAUUAUCUCUAGACACUGUUCUGAUUUCUCCUGUCGCUUUGCAAACUGUUUAUAAUAUAAGUGAGACUGAAGCAUCAUUCACAGUUUCAGCUACAUUUUCUACAUUGGUGUGGGAGGGGCCACAUGCAUGCCACAACACACACGUGGAGGUCAGAGGACCAUUUAGUAGUUGGUUCUCUCCUAUCACCGUGUUGGUUCUGACAUGGAACUCAGGCUAUCAAGCUUGGUGGCAUGUGCCUUUGCUAAUGAGCCGUCUCCUGGCCCCUAACCAUAGCCGCACCCUGCAGGAGUGUUAUUGUUGAGACGACAGGCUCUCAUUGUACAGCACUAGCUGGUCUGGAACUUGCUAUUUAGAGCAGGCUGGCCCCCAAACUCACAAAGAUCCAUCUGCCUCUGCCUGCUGAGUUAGAUUAAGGCAUGUGCCCAUUCUCCAUUUUUAAUGUCCAGCUUCUGCUUCAGACAGAAUUUAGCACACUUCUAGUAAAAUAACAGGAAGUGCACAUGAAGUGUCCUGGAGCUUGGUGAGAAUAAUUGUCUAGCUGCCCCCACAGAAGGCCCCAGGGCCCAGCUCAACAACUGCACAGCCCACACUGACGAGCGUUCAGCCUUCCACUUCUGGGGAAGUUAGAAACAAGCAGAAAGCUAUAAUACUAUAAGGAAGAUGAGCUCCAGCGAGACUCUCUUAAUGGCAACCCAAGGUCAUUACUGUUCUUCCUGAUCAGAAUAACUAUGCAUAGGGAUGUUCUCCUACUUUGAACUUAAUAACUUCCUAAGCUAAAAUGAAUAGUCAGUCAAAGAGAAAAUGGUUACUUAUACUGGAUUAUAGAAUCAGUGCAAAUUUGGCAUAAAGUUAUCUCUGAGGCUCAACCCACUAAGACACCAUGUUUCUAGGACACCACAAAGAAGCAAUAGACAAGAAGAAUAUAAGCCCUGAUGCUCACAAGGGAUGGGAGGGAACUACCUUCUAAUCUCACUGUCCUCCCUUCCAGACCCACUGGCUCCUCCUCACGUGGCUGUGUCUUUACACCUUGCUCCAUUAGCUUAUGCAGGAUAUAGGUUAUUCUAGUUUAAUAUUUCUAUUAUAAAAGCAAUAAAACAGCAAGAUGUCAUUGAAAACUCUCUUCAGCCGCGGUGGCUACUGUCUUGAAACACCCUCUUCAUUUGAUAGGAACAGAGUUCAUCCUGGUGCAUGUCUGAUAGCGAAUAACCAAGUGUGUUUUGUCUGUUGUUCUCAGUCUUUGGGGAAAAAUACGCAAUAAAUCUUUGUUCAGGAUCAAGCAGUAUCCAGUUCUCCAACAAUAUAAGUAGUGCUGCACAAUACUUUGAAUUAUUUUUUAGGAUUAAAAGUGUUACGUUUGAGUGCCAAGUCAAACAAGUGGAGCAUUUUAUGACUGUCAGUAGAUAGCAAACUACUUCCUGAGACCAAAACUAUCCCGUCAGUCUGUCCUCACGCCCAUCACCGUCCAUCUGACCUUACUUCACCAUCAGCUGGAAUUUUCAUUACAGACUGCAUGCUCGCUUGUUUUGAUUCACAUUUUUUCCAUGCAAACAAGAUUAUUUCUUUGUAUGUGAUUCGUCAUUUGAAAACCAUCUGUAGUAUUGUUUGUCUUGUAAGAUCACAAUGUUAUCCUUAUCAAGUUGUGGGAAAUACAUGUGUGGGUUUUUUUUCCAGAUACAAUAAAGAUAUUAACCUUUUUAUUG